AUGGAUGAGUGGCAGCCGUGGGGCAGGGCAGACACCGAGCCUGCCCAGGGCCGGGCUGCCUCCGCUGCCCCGCUCUCCUGCUCCUCUGAGCCCGGACACAAUCCAGUGGGAUUGUCAAUUCAAUUUACUGGGAUUGUCAAUGCACCGGGAUUGUCAAUUCAAUUUACUGGGAUUGUCAAUGCACCGGGAUUGUCAAUUUACUGGGAGUGUCAAUGCAAUGGGACUGUCAAUGCACCGGGAUUGUCAAUUCAAUUUACCGGGACUGUCAAUGCACCGGGAUUGUCAAUUCAAUUCCGGGAUUGUCAAUGCACCGGGAUUGUCAAUUCAAUUACUGGGAUUGUCAAUGCACCGGGAGUGUCAAUUCACCGGGAUUGUCAAUGCACCGGGAGUGUCAAUUCAAUUUACUGGGAGUGUCAAUGCACCGGGAGUGUCAAUGCACCGGGACUGUCAAUGCACCGGGAUUGUCAAUUCACAGGGAUUGUCAAUUCACAGGGAUUGUCAAUUCACAGGGAGUGUCAAUGCACCGAGAUUGUCCAUUUACCGGGAUUGUCAAUUUACCGGGAUUGUCAAUUCACAGGGAGUGUCAAUGCACCGGGAUUGUCAAUGCACCGGGAUUGUCAAUUCAAUUUACUGGGAUUGUCAAUGCACCGGGAUUGUCAAUUCAAUUUACCGGGAUUGUCAAUGCACCGGGAUUGUCAAUGCACCGGGAUUGUCAAUUUACUGGGAGUGUCAAUGCAAUGGGACUGUCAAUGCACCGGGAUUGUCAAUUUACCAGGAUUGUCAAUGCACCGGGAUUGUCAAUUCAAUUUACCGGGAUUGUCAAUGCACCGGGAUUGUCAAUUCACCGGGAUUGUCAAUUCAAUUUACUGGGAUUGUCAAUUCAGCGGGAUUGUCAAUGCAAUGGGACUGUCAAUGCACCGGGAUUGUCAAUUCACCGGGACUGUCAAUUCAAUUUACUGGGAUUGUCAAUGCACCGGGAUUGUCAAUUCAAUUUACUGGGACUGUCAAUGCACCGGGAUUGUCAGUUCCCCGGGAUUGUCAGUUCACUGGGAUUGUCAGUUCACUGGGAUUGUCAAUGCACCGGGAGUGUCAAUUCACCGGGAUUGUCAAUGCACCGGGAGUGUCAAUUCAAUUUACUGGGAGUGUCAAUGCACCGGGAGUGUCAAUGCAAUGGGACUGUCAAUUCACCGGGAUUGUCAAUUCACCGGGAUUGUCAAUGCACCGGGAUUGUCAAUUCAAUUCACCGGGAUUGUCAAUUCACCGGGAUUGUCAAUGCACCGGGAUUGUCAAUUCACCGAGACUGUCAAUGCACCGGGAUUGUCAAUUCACCGAGACUGUCAAUGCACCGGGAUUGUCAAUUCACCGGGAUUGUCAAUUCACCGAGACUGUCAAUGCACCGGGAUUGUCAAUUCAAUUCACCGGGAUUGUCAAUUUACCAGGAUUGUCAAUUCACAGGGAGUGUCAAUGCACUGGGAGUGUCAAUGCACCGGGAGUGUCAAUGCACCGGGACUGUCAAUGCACCGGGAUUGUCAAUUCACAGGGAUUGUCAAUUCACAGGGAUUGUCAAUUCACAGGGAGUGUCAAUGCACCGAGAUUGUCCAUUUACCGGGAUUGUCAAUUUACCGGGAUUGUCAAUUCACAGGGAGUGUCAAUGCACCGGGAUUGUCAAUGCACCGGGAUUGUCAAUUCACAGGGAUUGUCAAUGCACCAGGAUUGUCAAUGCACAGGGAUUGUCAAUGCACCGGGAUUGUCAAUUCACAGGGAGUGUCAAUGCACCGGGAUUGUCUCCCUGUGGCUCCUUGCAUCAGGCCGGGUUUGCCCCAGGCCAGGUUUGCCCCAGGCCAGCGAGGAGCUUCCCUCGGCUGCUCCUUUCCCUUUGGCUUUCCCAGGCUCAGGGGAGGGCAGGGGAGAGGCUUUGAGCACCCAAGGGGUCAGGACAGAGAUUGGGAUCUUGUUUGGGGACCCCAAAGAUCAGGAGGGCCUUGUCUGGGCACCCCAGAGAGCUGGGAAAGCAGCGGGACCUGGUUUGGGCACCCAAGGGAUCAGGGAGAGGAAUGGUAUCUUGUUUGGGUGCCCCAGAGAGCUGGGAGGGCAGCAGGACCUUGUUCCCCACAACUGAUCCAGCUCAAGCCAUGGAAUCCCGGAAUCCCAGACUGGUUUCCGGUUGGAAUAGACCUUAAAGCUGAUCCC
rnacentral:lncRNA from 1 species